UAAGACAGGAAUGUGCUCAUGAAAGCCAUUCUUUGAUGUUCCCAUGUUCUCAAUGAGUCAGUACGAGUGUCAGAAAUAAUAACAGUGGCAAAAAAAGGAGAGGAGGAUUUCACUCAACUCCCACGGCCUUCAUUUACUGGCUGAGAAGUUUUCACACAAUGAGAAGAGUUUCUGAGACAAGUGCAGCUCUUCCUCGGAGGCAAGGCUGCGAUCCGCGUGACCUCCAGACAGGAAGUAGUACUUCCACCUCUGGUCGUAGUGGCUGCUACCUUGAGUGGGAUCCUGCUGUGGUCUGUGAGAGUGGUGAGAUCCAAGACGAGACGUCGAAGAAGAGGUUGCAUCAUGGCUGGUUGGAGUUCACUGAGGAGACAUACAGUAUGGAAAGUGGACUUGAAACUGGACCGUAUCCUUGACAAAAUGGCACGAUGACUCAUUAAUCACAGACGAUCACAUCAUUAGGGAAUGAGGAAUCUAAUUAAGAAUUGUCAUUAGCAAAUUAGAAAAUGAUGUCCGAAUCAUGGCAAAACAUUAUUGAUGCCUUACAAACAAGUACUGCAAAAGCACUGCAGACAGGAAGUGCAGUAUCUCGCCGUUUGCCCUCAGCUUCCUGAUAGAAUGUUUGAUUUGGUCUGGCAGCGGAAUAAAAAAAAAGUACCUUAUCAUGCAGAUAAGAGUAAUAGCCAAGUACACUCAGAACCAGAGGAUGUCGUACUUGCACACGGCCAAUAAGCAAUUCUCAGUGGUGUCCCUCUGGGCCUUAGUCAGGCUCGCAGCCCUGGAGAGGCUGUAGAUAGCCUGGAUCAGAGAAUCCAUCAAGGCGGCGUGGUCCUCCAGACCGCUAAGGAGAGCGGAGCACUUGGUGAGCAGAGGAAGCACAGUCGAGCACAGGUACCUGUUGAGGGCCAAGGCCAUGUCGGUGGAUCCAAAGUCAACCUGCAGGAGGAUUAAAGAUGGACGUGUGACUGUUUUAUUUCAUGUAUCUAUUGGAAAACAAUAAACAAGGCAACCUGCCAAUCAUUGCCUGGGUGGGUAGGAGUUAAAGGGCAUUGCUAUUGGUGGCAAGCUGCGGUUUAAAUCAAUACUAGGUCACAGGUCACGCUUUCACAAUGAAUUUGAGUGGGACAAGCGAGUAAAAGUUCACUAAAGCUCACCGUGUCGAGAGAGACUGCAGUCUGAAGGUCAGACAGAAAGCCAACCUGGAGGAGAUGGAGGAGGAAAGUCCGUUUCUCUAUACCGUACACGCGGUCCAGAAACAGAACCAUAGCGGCCUUGUGGUCGGGACAGAACACCGUCGAUAAGUCGGGCUCAACUACGCAACCAUCUGCAAGAAAGUUUAAUUGCCGUCAGCGUCAUUGAUAUAGAAUCUAAAAGGUGCACUAUAAUGGAAAAGUGGGAUUUUAAUGAUGUUUUAGCAGUAAUACAUAUUUGUCCUCACAGCCUGUGCCUUAUAGUCUGGUGUGACUUAUGGUAAUGGUUUAAUUUCAUUUGAACAUGCAUCAGAUUACAAUUGAAUGCAUCACAUAAUCAGUUCACAGUUCCGCAUGUCCAAAAGGAGUAGGAAGAAGCAAAGCUUAUUAAAUCCUACCCCUUCAUCUGGUACUUUUACAAUCAGUAACUGUUACAUUUGUUCACUUCCUGCUUUCCUAAUAUAAUAAAAAAAAAGUAUUGUUUAUAAUUUGUUAUAAUUGUUUUUUUUAUAAUUUUUCAUUUUUUUUAUAAUUUCACUUCCUGCUUUCCUAAUAUAAUAAAAAAAAUAAUUAUUGUUUAUAAUUUUUUAUAAUUGUUUUUUAUAAUAUUUCAAUUUUUCAUAAUUAAAAAAAAUUAAAAUAAUUUUAAUAUUUUUUUUUGUCCCAUACCAAAGUACGAGGUGACCUCCUAGCUGUGAUGUCUGCGCGCUAACCACUUGACCGCCGUGCAGCCUGGGAGUGUCUCUUAUCUUAUUCAUGUCUCAUAUGUCUUAUUGUCAGUGAUUAUAUUUACUAUAUUGGGUAAUACAAAUGUGAAAGAUGUUUUUUCCGUGUCUAGAGGACCCUAAUUAUAUAAAAAGGUUAUAAACAAGUUUUCUAUGGUAAAAUUCCAGCAUCAAACCUGGAUUUUGGACAACACACUACACUUGAGAUCUUAAACUGGUGAAGAAUAUGAGCCCAUUAACUCCUACUUGACCUUUUGACACAGAUGGGACUUGGAAAGAGAUGCUAAUGACGCCCUGAAGAUCCUGGAUGGGUAUGAGCGACCUCAGAAUGGCUCGCAUGCGGAUGGCCUCCCCUUUGCCUCCUUGAAUCAGCUGCAACAGUUCAGAAAAUAAAUGGAAGUAUUGUGAAAUGAUGUGUACUGUACAUACUGAUAACAGGAUAGAGAAGUUGGGAACAUGUUUUAUUUACAAGCUUUUUUGGCUAGCUGGGACUGUGCAGCUUAUCUUUGUGAAAGCUAGCGAUGCAGUAUUGAUGUAGUAUUUUUAUCUGUUACAUCUUCUCUUGCUUUGUACUGCUAUUGUGUCCAAAAGAAAGAUAUUUCUUACACUGGACAAGGCAACAAAAAGCAAACAUAAUUCGACAUAACGUCAAUGUGCAUGUAUUGUAAAAAAUAUAUAUAUAUAUACAGUCUGUGGACUAGUGUGGAAGUGCCGUGUUUCUCCAUGAGGCAUUAGCAUUUGAGGCGCUAGCAGAUAUUGAUGUCGAAAGGACAAAAACACUCACUUGCAUCUCUGGAGCACAGCGCCCCAGCAAGUCAAUGAGGGCCGAGUAGAAGGUCAUGAUGGCGUGGCCCAUAUGAAUGAGGUCAUCCUCACUGUCCUGCACGGCAUCUCUGUUACGGCAACAAUUAUGACCAUUAGCAGCUUGCCAAUAAUUGGAUAGUGGUGGUUUUUACAGAAGAAUUAACAGGGUUAUUAUUAUUAUUUAGGAUUAUCAUGAUGGAUGACCGGCGGCAUGGUGGUCUAGUGUUUAGCGUGCAGACCUCACAGCUAGGAGACUAGGGUUCAAUUCCACCCUCGGCCAUGUCUGUGUGGAGUUUGCAUGUUCUCCCCGUGCAUGCGUGGGUUUUCUCCGGGUACUCCGGUUUCCUCCCACAUUCCAAAAACAUGCUAGGUUAAUUGGUCCAUAGGUAUGAAUGUGAGUGUGAAUGGUUGUUUGUCUAUAUGUGCCCUGUGAUUGGCUGGCCACCAGUCCAGGGUAUACCCCGCCUCUUAGUCUUUAGCUUUUAACUCCAGUAUUUCCUCAGGGGGGGUCCUCCACACUGGGGGAUGUGUCGGGUCCGCUGAGUGGGUGCCAUGCUUGGGUCCCUUCGACCCAGCCGGCUGGGGGUUCCUCCCUUUGAUGUGGGGGUCCGCCCAUCUGUCGGAGUCGGGGGGCCCGGGUGCUGGUCCCUCUGAUGGCACGGACUGCGGCUCCUCCCAGUGUGGACGGCCCCAAAGGUGGCGUUUCCUUGAUCCUCAGUGUCAUGACAUGUCUCCCUAUUGUGUGUGUGUGUGUGUGUGAGAGUGUGUGUGUCAGUGUGUGUCUAGUA